rnacentral:misc_RNA from 1 species
AAAUACAUGGAUCAUUGUCGAGUAUUUCUGUCGUUGAACAGACUUGGACUAUCGAGACAUUUUGCCGAAAAGCUUGAACAGACCGAUGAAGUGUAUCCACCACACAAAAGAUCACAGCCAAAUAAUGUCAUUACGCAGACUGUACGCUUGUUUGCCACCCCUGUACGCAGUUGUAUAUAAAAAAAGACUGUCUCAAAAUCUGGACAUAACUCUAUUGUUAUACACAGUUUAAAAGUAAGUGUAGUAAAAAAA